CGAUCAGUUUUUUUCAAAACUAUACACAGAUUGCAUAAGAUUUAGU
rfam:Schistosoma margrebowiei strain Zambia genome assembly, scaffold: SMRZ_contig0005782